GCUGGUGGCGCGGCUGCGGCUGCUGCCCCCGGCGGCGCGGCUGGGCAUCGCCACUCCCCGCGAGGCUCCGGUCGGGCCGGCCAUGGCGGCGCUUCACGGAGCGGCUGCCAAGGCCGGCGCCCCGCCGCAGAUCCCGGACACCCGCCGCGAACUGGCCGAGCUGGUCAAGCGCAAGCAGGAGCUGGCGGAGACGCUGGCCAACCUGGAGCGGCAGAUCUACGCCUUCGAGGGCAGCUACCUGGAAGACACGCAGAUGUACGGCAACAUCAUCCGCGGCUGGGACCGCUACCUCACCAACCAGAACAGUUGUUCUCUGCCUAGGAACUCCAACAGCAAGAACGAUAGAAGGAAUAGAAAGUUCAAAGAAGCUGAGCGUCUCUUCAGCAAGUCCUCAGUCACCUCGGCCGCUGCAGUCAGCGCCCUGGCAGGAGUUCAAGACCAGCUCAUUGAAAAACGAGAGCCCGGGAGCGGGACCGAGAGUGACACUUCCCCAGAUUUCCACAACCAGGAAAACGAGCCGAGUCAGGAGGAAGCGGAAGAGCUAGAUGGUUCCGUUCAAGGUGUCAAGCCUCAGAAAGCCGCUUCUUCCACCUCUUCGGGCAGCCACCAUAGUAGCCACAAAAAACGGAAGAACAAAAACCGACACAGGUAUGUAUAUUAGGUUAGGCUGGCACGUUUUUUAAAAACAAAAAAACAGACAAAAGCAUUAACGGAGGAUUGAUCUCAAGCUGAACAAAAAGCCCCGCGCUGACUACUAGGCUUCUCCACAGUGAAACUUCCAGGAUUGGUCCCUCUCCCCCACCGUAGUCCAGCCCAAGAGACUGAAUAAGCACAAUGCCAGCUCCCUCCUAGACCUGCGCACCUACUCUUGCUCGUAGCCCAGACCUGGUGGUGACAAUCCCUGGCUUCCUGGUGCGUCUCGCUUCCUCGCUGAUCGGAAAUAGAAGCCCUCUUCUCAUUGGCCACACUUUAGUGCUCCAUCACGUGUGUAAAAGAACCCUUGGGAGAUGCUCCUGUCGAUGUUUCUUCGUGCCACUGCCGCCUCUUGAUUGAUUUUUUUUUGUCUCAUAAAUGUUGGGUGGUCAUUGGUUGUCUUUUUAAAAUAAAUCUUGGUAUUUAAUUUUC